GGGAUAUUGCACAAUGGGGGAAACCCUGAUGCAGCGACGCCGCGUGGGUGAUGAAGGUCUUCGGAUCGUAAAACCCUUUUCUAGGUGACGAGCAAGGACGGUAGCCUAGGAAGAAGUCUCGGCUAACUACGUGCCAGCAGCCGCGGUAAAACGUAGGAGGCAAGCGUUAUCCGGAGUUACUGGGCGUAAAGCGUAUGUAGGCGGUUGGGCAAGUGGCGUGUGAAAGCUCCCGGCUAAACUGGGAGAGGACAGGUCAGACUGCCCGGCUAGAGGAUGGUAGAGGAGCGCGGAAUUCGGGGUGUAGCGGUGAAAUGUGUAGAGAUCCCGAGGAACACCAGUGGCGCAAGCGGCGCUCUGGGCCAUCACUGACGCUGAGAUACGAAAGCGUGGGGAGCGAACGGGA
rnacentral:misc_RNA from 1 species